UACGGGGGGGAGCAAGCGUUGUUCGGAUUUACUGGGCGUAAAGGGCGCGUAGGCGGCCACCGCAAGUCGACUGUGAAAUCUCCGGGCUUAACCCGGAAAGGUCAGCCGAUACUGCGGGGCUAGAGUGCAGAAGGGGCAACUGGAAUUCUCGGUGUAGCGGUGAAAUGCGUAGAUAUCGAGAGGAACACCUGCGGCGAAGGCGGGUGCUGGGCUGACACGUUGACGCUGAGGCGCGAAAGCUAGGGGAGCGAACGGGG
rnacentral:rRNA from 1 species